rnacentral:rRNA from 1 species
AUGGGAACGCGAAGAACCUUACCUAGACUUGACAUCUCCUGAAUAGUGUAGAGAUACAUGAAGCCCUUCGGGGCAGGAAGACAGGUGGUGCAUGGUUGUCGUCAGCUCGUGUCGUGAGAUGUUGGGUUAAGUCCCGCAACGAGCGCAACCCUUAUUACUAGUUGCUACCAUUAAGUUGAGCACUCUAGUGAGACUGCCCGGGUUAACCGGGAGGAAGGCGGGGAUGACGUCAAAUCAUCAUGCCCCUUAUGUCUAGGGCUACACACGUGCUACAAUGGAUGGUACAAAGAGAAGCAAGCCCGCAAGGAGGAGCAAACCUUAAAAACCGGUCCCAGUUCGGAUUGCAGGCUGCAACUCGCCUGCAUGAAGCUGGAGUUGCUAGUAAUCGUGAAUCAGCAUGUCACGGUGAAUAC